rnacentral:rRNA from 1 species
AGUGGCGGACGGGUGAGUAACGCGUGAGAAUCUGCCUUGGGGUCGGGGACAACCACUGGAAACGGUGGCUAAUACCGGAUAAGCCGAUUGGUGAAAGAUUUAUUGCCCGAAGAGGAGCUCGCGUCUGAUUAGCUAGUUGGUGAGGUAAGAGCUCACCAAGGCAGCGAUCAGUAGCUGGUCUGAGAGGACGAUCAGCCACACUGGGACUGAGACACGGCCCAGACUCCUACGGGAGGCAGCAGUGGGGAAUUUUCCGCAAUGGGCGAAAGCCUGACGGAGCAAGACCGCGUGAGGGAGGAAGGCUCUUGGGUUGUAAACCUCUUUUCUCAGGGAAGAAGCUCUGACGGUACCUGAGGAAUCAGCCCCGCUAACUCCGUGCCAGCAGCCGCGGUAAUACGGAGGAGGCAAGCGUUAUCCGGAAUUAUUGGGCGUAAAGCGUCCGCAGGUGGCGAUUCAAGUCUGCUGUCAAAGCACGGGGCUUAACUCCGUAAAGGCAGUGGAAACUGAAUAGCUAGAGUGCCGUAGGGGUAGAGGGAAUUCCCGGUGUAGCGGUGAAAUGCGUAGAGAUCGGGAAGAACAUCGGUGGCGAAAGCGCUCUACUGGACGGCAACUGACACUCAGGGACGAAAGCUAGGGGAGCGAAUGGGAUUAGAUACCCC